rnacentral:misc_RNA from 1 species
GAAUGACCAGCAUAAGAGUUCUCAGUUCGAAGUUUGGGGUAAUGGUGUGAGUGAAGGAGGACAGGUUGUUUCAAUCGCAACCCGAGGGAACCUUAUUGCACUUGUGUUGAAAAAUUGCUGCAUAUUUAGGCUAUUGACCAGUGACACUAAAAUUGGGGAGAUUUCUUUUCUGGGCAAUCUACUUUCUGUUGAAGGCAAUUCUACUCAAUCAUGUAUACUUGGGGGGAUGUUUCUUGAAAGUUUUGGUGCCGUUAGAAUGCAGAAUACCCAGGAAGCAUAUGAA